CAUUCAGGGGCCCUGGACCUCUGGGGCUGAAGAUCUGCCUGCCGCUGUCCUGGAGGUCACAGGUUCCAGAAGGGCAGCAGAUGCCUGAAGCCGCAGGGCUGCGGGAAGCAUACCUCACUUGCCUGUGGUCCAGUUUGGAUAGUCCCAGCACAGCUUUACAGGAAUAGGCCCCAAACCGAACUUCCAAGGAGGAAGGAUCUGAUCGGCUCAGCUUGGGUGAGGAAGCGGAGGGAGAGUGGACUGGAAGGAACUUGACCCAGGAUGCUGAGCAUGGCUGGCCAAUGGGAUGCUUCUCUCUCC
rnacentral:lncRNA from 10 species